rnacentral:rRNA from 1 species
AGAGUUUGAUCCUGGCUCAGGACGAACGCUGGCGGCAUGCCUAACCCAUGCAAGUCGAACGGAUGCGACGACUUCGGUUGUCAAGUCAGUGGCGGACGGGUGAGUAACACGUGAACAACCAACCUCAUACUGGGGGACAACAUUUGGAAACGAAUGCUAAUACCGCAUAAGACCACGGAGCCGCAUGGCUCAGAGGUCAAAGGAGAAAUCCGGUAUGAGACGGGUUCGCGUCCUAUUAGUUAGAUGGUGAGGUAACGGCCCACCAUGACCGCGAUAGGUAGCCGAGCUGAGAGGCUGAUCGGCCACACUGGAACUGAGAGACGGUCCAGACUCCUACGGGAGGCAGCAGGGGGGAAUAUUGGGCAAUGGGGGAAACCCUGACCCAGCAAUGCCGCGUGAAUGAAGAAGGCCUUCGGGUUGUAAAGUUCUGUGACAGAGGACGAAGAAAUGACGGUACUCUGAGAGGAAGCUCCGGCAAACUACGUGCC